rnacentral:rRNA from 1 species
UGAAUACGAGACGCUACGGCGUCGAAGCAGUCUAUGUCAUACUUCCAAGAAAAGCUCGCAAUGUCAUAAACAAAUAAUGCCUGUACCAUAACCGACACAGGUGGGUAGGUAGAGUAUACUAAGGGGCGCGAGAUAACUCUCUCUAAGGAACUCGGCAAAAUGACUCCGUAACUUCGGGAGAAGGAGUGCCUUAUUUAUAAGGUUGCAAUAACAAGAUCCAAGCAACUGUUUAUCAAAAACACAGGUCUCCGCUAAGUCGUAAGACGAUGUAUGGGGGCUGACGCCUGCCCAGUGCCAGAAGGUUAAAGAAGUUGGUUAGCAUUUGCGAAGCUGAUAACUGAAGCCCUGGUGAACGGCGGCCGUAACCAUAACGGUCCUAAGGUAGCGAAAUUCCUUGUCGGGUAAGUUCCGACCCGCACGAAAGGCGUAAUGAUUUGGAUACUGUCUCGGAGAGGGGCUCGGUGAAAUAGACUUGUCUGUGAAGAUGCGGACUACCUGCACCUGGACAGAAAGACCCUAUGAAGCUUUACUGUAACUUGAAAUUGAAAUUGGACUUUAUUUGCGCAGCAUAGGUGGGAGGCGUUGAGAGUAUUCUUGCGGGAAUAUUGGAGCCAUCAGUGAGAUACCACUCUUGUAAUGUUAGAUUUCUAACUUUGUAUCAUUAUCUGGUCAAAGAACAGUUUCAGGCGGGCAGUUUGACUGGGGCGGUCGCCUCCCAAAUGGUAACGGAGGCGUACAAAGGUUUCCUCUGAACGGGUAGAAAUCGUAUCUAGAGUGUAAAGGCAUAAGGAAGCUUGACUGUGAGACCUACAAGUCGAGCAGGGACGAAAGUCGGUCUUAGUGAUCUGACGGUGCUGAGUGGAAAGGCCGUCACUCAACGGAUAAAAGUUACUCUAGGAUAACAGGCUGAUCUCCCCCAAGAGUUCACAUCGACGGGGAGGUUUGGCACCUCGAUGUCGGCUCAUCGCAUCCUGGGGCGGUAGUACGUCCCAAGGGUUGGGCUGUUCGCCCAUGAAAGCGGUACGCGAGCUGGGUUCAGAACGUCGUGAGACAGUUCGGUCCAUAUCCGGUGUAGGCGUUAGAAUAUUGAGAGGAGCCUUCUUUAGUACGAGAGGACCGAGAAGGACAUACCUCUGGUGUACCAGUUAUCGUGCCAACGGUAAACGCUGGGUAGCUAUGUAUGGAGAGGAUAACCGCUGAAAGCAUCUAAGUGGGAAGCCCACCUCAAGAUAAGUAUUCUCA